GGGAGCGGGGCGUGGGGGAGGGCAGCAAUCCGGGUGGAGGAAAUUUGGGAGGAGUGUCCGGGGGGCAGCAACUUAAAAGGGGGAGGGAACUGCGGCUAAGGAGACGUUCGGUGAUGGGAGCGCAAUGUAUGAGGGGAUACAGUGCCUCAGGUUUAAAAGAGCAGGAAGCUGAGUGAGAGGUUGCAGAAAAAGUGUCUUCGCUCGGCAGAGGUUACAGGUGGCAUCUCGGAAAGAGCUUUGAGGCUACAGGCUGUAGUCGGGAAGGGGAUCGGAGAACUGUGUGAAGGGACAGCUUAGGGACUAGCGUCCUGGGACUAGGGGGAAGUUCGCGACUUUCUGAAGACUGGCAGGAAUGUGCCUCCUGGCCCUCGAUGCUUCCCCCCUGAGGGGAGGCAUCGUGAGGGACUGUGGCAGGCUUCACUGAACGCUGAGCCGGGGAGGUCCAACUCCACGUAUGGAUCCGGGGAAUGAGAAUUCAGCCACAGAGGCUGCCGCGAUCAUAGACCUAGAUCCCGACUUCGAACCCCAGAGCCGUCCCCGCUCCUGCACCUGGCCCCUUCCCCGACCAGAGAUCGCUAAUCAGCCGUCCGAGCCGCCCGAGGUGGAGCCAGAUCUGGGGGAAAAGCCAGGCCAUUGAAAGCGCCCCGGAGAAGCGACUGACACUUGCCCAGAUCUACGAGUGGAUGGUCCGUACU
rnacentral:lncRNA from 1 species